GCUAGUGUGGUAUAGUGGUUUGAGUGCUAGACUAUGACUAUGGAGUCCAGGGUUCAAAUCCCUGCUUGACCA